GCUAGGAUGAACGCUAGCUACAGGCUUAACACAUGCAAGUCGAGGGGCAGCAUUGGAGUAGCAAUACUUCAGAUGGCGACCGGCGCACGGGUGAGUAACACGUAUCCAACCUGCCGCUUACUCGGGGAUAGCCUUUCGAAAGAAAGAUUAAUACCCGAUGGUAUAAAGAGUUCGCAUGUUCUCUUUAUUAAAGAAUUUCGGUAAGCGAUGGGGAUGCGUUCCAUUAGAUAGUUGGCGGGGUAACGGCCCACCAAGUCUACGAUGGAUAGGGGUUCUGAGAGGAAGGUCCCCCACAUUGGAACUGAGACACGGUCCAAACUCCUACGGGAGGCAGCAGUGAGGAAUAUUGGUCAAUGGACGAGAGUCUGAACCAGCCAAGUAGCGUGAAGGAUGACUGCCCUAUGGGUUGUAAACUUCUUUUAUAAGGGAAUAAAGUGAGGGACGUGUCCCUUUUUGUAUGUACCUUAUGAAUAAGGAUCGGCUAACUCCGUGCCAGCCGCUGC
rnacentral:rRNA from 1 species